CUGAUGAGUCCCCAAUAGGACGAAACGCGCGUC
rnacentral:hammerhead_ribozyme from 1 species